UGAACUUUAUCACUUUUGUAAUUUUCAAAGUACAUACAUAAUUGACCCUCAGGCUUUACAGCAUGGCGUCGGCUACAUGCGCGCCGUCUAGUCACGGAGUAUGAAAAUGUUAAGCCGGAAACACAAUGUAAAGUACAGACAAUAGGAAGACAGGAAAUAAUCAUCAUCCACUUGGAAAAAAUCAUGGUAUAAGAGUGAAAUCACACGGUGCGGAAAAGGGCUGCGGAACAAAGAAUGAUCAUUGAAACAAUCAAUUAACGCUAUUCGGAAUAACGUAGAAUAACGCUGGUUGCUUUUAUGACGCAUUUCUCUAUUCCGCAGUCGUUUUCCGCACCAUGUGAUUUCUCCCUAAAUAAGAAUGGUGCAUGCGCAUCGAGUCGCUUGGAAGUAACUAGGACUAAAGUUACUAGAUAAAUUACAUGUCAUUAAUGAAUAGAAUAUAGAACAAUUUAUCGAUAAAACGAAAAUAAUAAUCUCAUGCACGGAAUUGGCAGACUAACAAACGUUUUAACAUCGAAGUGUCCACAUGAAAUCAUAAGAUAAAGGUUCAAAAUGAUGAUUACAUCCAGUCGCACUUAUCCAAAUUUUAUUUUUGAUUUUCUGCCCAAAAUAAUUAAUAUGCCAAUAAAAAAAACAUUAGCAAAUAUUUAGCAAUCGAAUGGGCUUUUUAAAAUUAUCGAAAGUUAAUCUACCAAUCUCUACUACAAUGUCUACAGAACUGUCGAAACGUAUGCCAUCACUGCCAUCUUUUGGGAGCCGUCCGAGAAAUCCCCGACCCCGACGCUAGAUGCCCUAUUUAACGGCAACGCACGUUCUCUCUUAACGCAUUUUCAAUAAGAACACUGUGAUCGUAACGAGAUGUGGUUUUUGAGUGUGUGAAAAAAAGUGUGAUUUUGCCGUGUGACAAGCGAGACUGACGUUGUGGACACGAACGCUGGCACGCAACGUAUCGUCUCGCAGAUCUCCACUGGCAUGGAGCUAGGAGCGCACUGAUAGCGUUAGUUUGCGAGAUCUUGGUUUCUAUGCAUUGCCUGCCAAAGAAGAACUGA